AGGUCCAUUCUAAUUCCUCGCAGGUUGGUGCCAGUACCUGCUGGGUUUCGCUUGUGGACCACAUUAAACUGGAAGACUUAAAUGUGUCUGAGCUUACUGGUAGUUUGCUCGUGACGUAGUUUUCUGGACAUGC
ensembl:snoRNA small nucleolar RNA, H/ACA box 52